CCUCUGAAAAAAAACAAAGUUCCCUGGUUUUAUUCAAGUGCAUGAUUAAGUCAGAAAAAAAUGUCCCAUUUCCAGAUUCUCCCCUGAUGUGAAGAGCUACAGCUUUGUGGAUGACUGCUGUCGUUUUGGUACAGAGGUGUCCCUGUUUUCUUUAAGACAGCUGGGAGGGCUCAUCUGUGAUUGGCUUGGAUGCUACGUUAGGCAAAUGUUAGCUUGAGGAUGCCUGUUUUGGGCCACACUCUCCAUGGAGACACCAAUGCUGGUGCAGCUAGAGCAGAGCCAGCCCCUGGUGUGGCUGUGAGGGUUGCAGGAGCUGGGGAAGCUGUGCUGGGCUGUGUGGGUUGCUGCAGCAGGAGCGGCGUACAAAUUCCUCAUGGAGUGAGAUAAAUUGUCAUUGCCACAAAGAGACUUGGACCUUUCUCUUAAUGACUGGCAGAAAAAGCUGGAUGCAGGAGAAGGUCUGCUGGAGAAAGGAUGAGAUUUCAUGAAGUAUGGCCAGGAGUGUUGACAUCCCAGUGCAUCCCACAAAGGAACUCACAUGGGGAUAAUGAAGGACUUGUCCCAUCAGCUCCUUAAAAAUUUCUUAAGGGUAAAAAGCCUGCAUGCGUGCUCAUUACCAGUACAGCACGGUGUGUGCCAGCUGUCUCUCUGCCUGCAGAGCACUGACUAAAAGGCUCCAAAUGCUUUUCAUUGUCCCACCCUGUCUAACAGCAGCUGUAAACGGCUUUGCUGGGCCACUCACCCCCAGCACGCUAUUAACGUUUGUAUUAAUCACUAAUGCAGCAUGAGAAACCAGCGUGUUACCAAAUCCUCUGACAUCCGAAGGUUUGCAAACUGGGCUGUGGAAUGACUGCUGCUCCCCUGGCUCUGCUCCCCCUCCUGCCUUGGCAUAAGGGACCAGGUGGGAGGGACACGUAGAUGCCACUGCUUGUUGUCCCUGACCCGACAGCUGACCACGGGGACCCACUUCCAGGCACUCAGAGCUGUGGCAGGAGCUGCCUGCGGUUGAGUUGCUGGGCAGGAACUGGCCAGUGUUUUUGCCUCUCAGAGCAGCUGGUGUGGAUGUCGCAGCCGAUUACGUCGAGGAAGGAGGGACUUCUGAAACCAGGGAGAAAUUUCAUUGCUUCCUUCCCUUGCCAUUUGGGUUACGAUGCAGAGAAGAAGAGCAUCAAAAAGAAGUUACUGGUUUGGGUGCAACCAGCUGCUGCUCUUUUCAUCUGCCUGUCCCAAGGUUUGUUGCAAGAGGUGUCUCCCAAAGCUGCAAGGCCAGAGCUUGCUGGAGAGGGUUUCCUGAGGGCUGUCAGGUGGCACCUGGGGACGGCGAAGUGCAUGCCCAGCUCCACAGGAUGGGGAUGGGCACACGCCAUCAAGCUUUGACGGAUGGAGACUGUUAAUAUUGAACAUAUAAUUACGCUGGCCAAGACCGAGAGUCCUUCUGCAGUGAUGCAUAUGGAGGGCAUCAAUAUUAAGGGGAAAGAUAUUGCUGAGUUUCUCAGAAGGGGAAAAUGUGCUGGAGGAGGCUGAGGACACAAGUUGUUAUUGCAGCAGCCGAGCAGCACAACCAUCCUCUUGCCAGCACCGUCCUCUGGCCUUGCCAAGGUCUUGAUGGCAAAUGCCAACUGACAACCCAUUCCCGUCACUGCUGGUGAGCCAAACCUAGGGCUUUCCCCACCUCUAAACAAGGAGAACAUCCACUGCUGCUAAUCGCAUAAAAAACCUACUGCGUUGGCCUCCCUGGUCUUAAAAUAAUGACAGCACGUGAGCAGGAGCGGGAAGAUCUCAGUCAAGCCCACCAGAAUGUGGAGCUUGUGGAGACAGAGCUGAGAUGCCCCUGAAAUCACGUACCCGGGGAUGUGCCACCUUCUGCUGGUGCUGGACCUGGCUCCUGACCCACUGAACCCAUCUUGCCCAUGUGACAGCUCUUCCCUCUGGCUACCUGAACCCAAGAGGUGAGGAAAAGGCAUUUUAGGGCGGUUUGGGGUGGUGUGGUGCUGGGAGGGUGGUGGUGAUAUGUGGGCAAAGAUGCUCUUGCCUGCAGUGACUCAUUCAGCUUUAAUUGCUCCCUGAUGUCCCUGGCUGCUGGCAGCAUUGCAUCAGAGAUGUCACGUUAUAGUCAUGCGUGAAGAACUAAUGGUCAAGGGUGACACCACCAACACAACAUCCCCGGGGAAGCGGUCAGUGGUGGUGGGGGAUCAAAGGGCAGGAAGAGGGGCUGGGGGCUGUCCCCUGUACCAUAGGGGGGUAGCCCAGGUGUGACAAACUAGGGUCUGAAGGACACUCUUGGGUACACAGCUCCCAUGACAGCUGUGGGGGCACCAACCCAUCCCCUUGGGCAUCUGUACCCUUCUGCACCCUGGCUGGGAUGCUGCUGUGCCUGGGCUGGUUGGCAUCUACCAAGAGUUGAAGGGAAGACCUGGAUGUGCCCCCAUGCCGGUGCAAGAGGUUAACUGGAACAGCGUGGUGAAGUUGUUUUUUUGGAUGCGGCCAACAAGAUUUACCCCAGCACAUGCGUUUGCAAGCUGUUCUGCACUGAGACUGGCAUGGUGCAAGGUACCCUUUCUAGAUGUCCUUGUCCCCAGGUACUGCGGCAGUACACAAGCUCUUCUUCUGCUCUCCAGCAGCAUCAGCAUGAUCCCAGUUUGCAUUUGGCUCAGUGCUCUUGUUUCCAGUUGCUUCCCACCAUGCUGCUGCUGGGUGCAGCAUCUCUCCCCCCCACCGCUGCUCUAGUGGGAUGGGGCAGCAGCUCCCUGCCUUCCAUCAGUGGAAGAGGUUUGGGGACAGCCAAGCAAGGUGGCCACACUGCUGGGACAUGGAUCAACCUACCGGAGAAGCAGCUCUGGCCACAGCCAUCCUGCCGAGAGACACAGGGAGGGAGGAAGAGUUAUUGCUGCAGUCACACACCAGCUAUUACCUCCCAACAAAAGGCAGCGUCUGCAGAGCCGGGAGAGAGCCUGAGGACAGGGACAGCCCUGAUGACCUUCAGAGGACGUGCAGCAGACAGGCCCAAGCCCUGAUCGCCCCAGACAGGUAUGCCCCUGGGCACCCCUCCACCUGGCCUGGCGCAGCGGGGGCCUCCUGGGAUGCUCCCCACAAGCCUUCAGCCGAGAUCAGCUUCAAAACCUCUUCACUAGCCCCUGGCUCGGGUGUCGUGUGGUUGUGGUUUUCUCUUUUUUUUUUCCCCUUCCAGCUCACAUCAAGCUUUCAGGUUUCUGCAAGGAGGAAGAGGUGAUGAUUUUGUCGGCGCUUAGCUGCUGUGAGGUGCCAGUAAGCAAGUCUCAUGUUGAAAUUUCGAUACAUCCCUGUAAAGCACCACAGCAUACUGUGAUACUGCGAUUUUCCAGCCCAACCCUGGCAGCCAGAGCAAGGAACCUGCUUAUAAUAAAUGGGGAUCAAGCAUCCUUUCCCCACAAACAGCUGAGAAGGAAACAAAGGGAAAAAAAGGGCAAAAUCAGGGCUCCUACACCCACCACGAGCAGCAUCGCCCCUUCACACUGUCCCCACAGUGCCAGCAGAGAAGGGACAUGGGGUCGGCCACCACCCCUCUGCCCACCCUGCCUGCAUCCAAGGCACCAUAAAAUAUUUUACUACAAAGCAGAAUUACUCCAAAGACUGAUGGGCUGACUUGCGAGACCCACUCACAUUUAUGGAGGUCGUAAGUUAUAGACUCCCGGUGAACUGGAGGAAAACAUAACCCUCGCCUUUUAUUGGCGAAACUUCCUGCUGUAUAUUAAACUCUCCAGCAAACAGACGUGGGCUUUACUGCAAACUAUAACUUUAAUGCCUCCCAACCCUUCGGUUAGUUUGGAGGGUUUAUUAAUAACCGGGGUGUGCUGCGCCCUUUCCUGCCGGCGCUUUGCCACGGUGAUGGUGAUGGUGAUGAUGAUGGUGAUGGUGGUGGCUCUUGGCUGGAGCUCCCAGCAUGGGGAUGGGGAGAAAAAAAUCUGCAUUGUUCAGGCUGGGACUUGGGAGGAGAUUGGGAGGGACCUGGUGCAUCCCAGGGCACCACCGAGCUGCAGGUUUCUGCUCACCAAAAGCGUUUAGAAGCUUCUGCCAUGGGCACCUACAAGCCCUGGUGCAUGAUGUGUCUUCCUCCCCACUCCCUUUUUGGCUUAAAAUAUUAUUAGGUUGGUGCAAAAAGAAUUGCAGUUUAUGCAUUGUUAAAAGUUGCUGUUUGAUAUGGGAAUACAUCCUUAAAUAUGGUUAUGUUAUACAUUAUUUUAAUGCACUUUUCUCCUCUUAUGUUUUUUUGCUACUGACUUAUUACUUGCUGUUCAGUUUACAUUUAUUUUAGACUGCAGAAAUGAUGUUAGACAAAAGCAAAUUUGAGCAAUUUUCUUAUAUGAGUUCAAAAUGGGUCGUAAAGCAGCGGAGACAACUCACAACAUCAACAACACGGUUGGCCCAGGAACUGCUACUGAAUGUAAAGUGCAGUGGUGGGUCAAGAUGUUUCGCAAAGGAGACAAGAGCCUUGAAGAUGAGGAGCGCAGUGGUGGCCAUCGGAAGGUGACAAUGACCCAAUGAGAGCAAUCAUUGAAGCUGAUCCUCUUACAACUACACAAGAAGUUGACAAGGAAAUAAAUGUCGACCAUUCUACAGCUGUUCAGCAUUUGAGGCAAAUUGGAAAGGUGAAAAAGCUCGAUAAGUGGGUGCCUCAUGAGCUGAUCAAAAAUGAAAAGUGUCACUUUGAAGUGUCAUCUUCACUUAUUCUACCUUUCUUGAUCAGAUUGUGAUGCGUGAAGAAAAGUGGAUUUUAUACGACAACUGGUGACAACCCGCUCAGCAGUUGGACCAAGAAGAACCUCCAAAACGCUUCCCAAAGCCAAACUUGCACCAAAAAAGGUCCCAGUUUAUUGAUCUGCUGCCGGUCUGAUCCACUGCAGCUUUCUGAAUCCCAGUGAAACCGCUACACCUGAGAAGGAUGCUCAGCAAAUUGAUGAGAUGCACCGAAACCUGCAACACCUGCAGCCGCCGUCAGUCAACAGAAAGGGCCCAAUUCUUCUCCAUGAUGCCUGAUGACAUGACACACAAUCGAUGCUUCAAAAGUUGAACGACUUGGGCUACAAAAUUUUGCCUUAUCCGCCGUAUUCACCCGACCUCUCCCCAACUGACUGCCACUUCUUCAAGCAUCUUGACAACUUUUUUGCAGGGAAAACGCUUCCACAAUCAGAAGGACGCAGAAAAUGCUUUGCAAGAAUUUGUCGAACCCCAAAGCACGGAUUUUUACACUACGGGAAUAAACAAACUUCUUUCUUAUUGGCAAAAAUUUGUUGAAUUGUAAUGGCUCCUGUUUUGAUGAAUAAAGAUGUGUUUGAGCCUGCUUAUAA